rnacentral:rRNA from 1 species
UACGUAGGUGGCGAGCGUUAUCCGGAAUGAUUGGGCGUAAAGGGUGCGCAGGCGGUCCUGCAAGUCUGGAGUGAAACGUAUGAGCUCAACUCAUGCAUGGCUCUGGAAACUGGAGGACUGGAGAGCAGGAGAGGGCGGUGGAACUCCAUGUGUAGCGGUAAAAUGCGUAGAUAUAUGGAGGAACAUCAGUGGCGAAGGCGGCCACCUGGACCGGUAUUGACGCUGAGGCGCGAAAGCGUGGGGAGCAAACAGG